GAUGAACGCUGGCGGCGUGCCUAACACAUGCAAGUCGAACGGAGUUAUUAUUAUGAAGUUUUCGGAUGGAUUAAUAAUAACUUAGUGGCGGACGGGUGAGUAACGCGUGGGUAACCUGCCUCACACAGGGGGAUAACAGUUGGAAACGGCUGCUAAAACCGCAUAAGCAUACACUGCCGCAUGGCAGAGUGUGAAAAUAUUUAUAGGUGUGAGAUGGACCCGCGUCUGAUUAGCUAGUUGGUAAGGUAACGGCCUACCAAGGCGACGAUCAGUAGCCGGCUUGAGAGAGCGAUCGGCCACAUUGGGACUGAGACACGGCCCAAACUCCUACGGGAGGCA
rnacentral:rRNA from 1 species